AUUGAACGCUGGCGGCAUGCCUAACACAUGCAAGUCGAGCGAGCGGCGGACGGGUGAGUAAUGCAUGGGGACUGCCCGAUAGAGGGGGAUAACCACUGGAAACGGUGGCUAAAACCCCAUUCUACCGGCUAGACCAUUUGGGAUUAGCUAGUAGGGGAGGUAAUGGCUCACAAAGGUGACGAUACCUAGCUGGUCUGAGAGGCUGAUCAGCCACACUGGAACUGAGACACGGCCCAGACUCCUACGGAGGCAGCAGUGGGGAAUAUUCCGCAAUGGGCGAAAGCCUGAUGGAGCAAUGCCGCGUGGAUGAAGAAGGCCCUCGGGUUGUAAAGUACUUUCAGUCGGGAGGCGGUACCGACAGAGGAAGCACCGGCUAACUACGUGCCAGCAGCCGCGGUAAUUC
rnacentral:rRNA from 1 species